CACUAAAAAAAAUAAAUCAAUUUGAUGCUUUUUCAAGGCAGGUGCAAUUUUAAAAAGCACUAAAAAACAGAAGCUACCACAACCCCUAACAGGUUCUUAUGCCUAGGUCAAAAUUCACACAAUACAAAUACCAGCAGUAAAAAGGCACAGUUAUUCAAUUCUCUAAAAAGCACUCUGGUUCUUGGUGAGAAUUUUCUCUACAGGUUAUGCUUGCAUGGCAAUCUAAACAAGGGAACAUAAAGCUAAACCCAUAGAAACAGCAAGAUAAUACUCUGAACAGAUCACAAAUGCAGUUAGUGAUGUAAUAAUACUACCAAGCACCUAGUUCAAAGAAAAUACAAUAAGCACACUCAGAAGUGUUUAGAAGAUACAAUCUAGAUAAAGCACAAGGACCAGGUGGCAGAUGUACAAUCCAAUACAUAAGAAACCCUAAGAAAAAGAAAAGGAUAAGAUAAGGAUUAAGAAACAGCAGUUAUCUUUCCCUAAUGGGCAUAAAAUUUGACUGGAGCACGAU